GCCUAUCUUGCGGAAGCCCCAUUAUGUAGUCAGCCAUUUCCUUUUCAACGGCACUAAUUUCAGUUGUUUGCUUUUCCUUUUACCUUUGAUCAUAAAGGAACAGGUUCAAAUGCACCCCAGUAUUUGUCCUAAACUUGACUUGCCUCCCUUUCCCUAAUUCCAUACAUCUGACCAGUCCCUUAGCCUUGCUGCCUUAACUCCACCCUUCUUUCCCUCUUUCUUUCCCGCUUCCAGGCCAGGCAGGCCCUCCUUCAUCUCUCCCCUGUUUAGUGAACUCAAUAAUUUAUUCCACGUAAGUAAGAUUCCUUCUGUGCUAAUCUCAAAUUGGUCCUACAUCGCUUCUGAGUCUCAUUUCAUGAUCACGCCUUAAUCUGAUCAUCAACUUUUGAUCAUUUACUGAUUGUCUACAUGGUGUACAUUUUCAUGUAUAUGACCUUUCAUGGUGUGCAUUGUUCUUCCUCCAAUCAGGUAGACAGUUGAUAUUUGCCUCCCUCUAGCAUUCAGUCUUCUUUCAUCUCACAACCUUACUCCAGUUUUUCUCCAUCAAACCAGGCACCCCUUACCCCAGGACCAAGUGAUUUGGGUGGAGUGGAGGUACCCUUAGCAGUGAAAGGGCAUUUCAUCAAGAUUAAAGCUAAAUAGCAUCUCACAUUCCCCAAGCCAUAGUCAUUGCUUCAGGGAUGAACACAUAACCAAACAAGCCCGUGAGAAGCAAAGGAAAAUGGGGCUGGGCUAUUAAGGUAGAUGGAUGUUAUCUCUCCCUGAAAAGGUACUACAGCCACCUGCCCCACCUGAGUCUCCCUAUGAUGCCAAUGAAGAUGAAGGCAGAGCCGUAGAGGGGAGGAAUGAUGAUGUUGGAGAAGCCACAGACUCCCCUGGGCUUGAAGCCAUGCCUAUGAGCUGCACUUGUCGCUUAGGAUAUACUAUUACACUAGCCAACUCUGAAGGGCUGCCUCACACAGUACCGAAGAGUAUUCCCAAAAAUCAGAAGAUCAGACUUCAAGGGCCCUGGAUCCAGAACUUGCUGCUGGGAGGCAGGGCCCAGGGGCAGACCAUAGGUUGGUGGUUGGCUGUUUUAUAAGCAGAGAAACUGAGGAUCCCAGUUGAACUUCCUUCUCUGUCCUAGGCAGUGUGCCAAGUGUGGGGGCCUAGACGUGGUGGAUUCAAAGGGCAAGAGAGACAGGCUUGCCGCCAGAAAGAUCAUGAAAACAUAGUGCUGGAGUGACAGACUGGGCCAGCAGUGCAGAACAAGAGGAAAGGAAAGAGAUCACAUCUUUUAAGCAGUAUUGCCCAAACUUCCCUCCUUCACAAACCACCUUUGGGAUAUUUGCCUAUUCUUGUACCACCCAUAUAUACAUUUUAAAAUAUUUUUCUUUCGAUGAUUCCCUUUUUUAUUUUAACUGAGCUUCAUCCUAAGCAAUAAUAUUGGUUGAGGUCACUGCUUCAUGAGCUGCUAUAUGUAUUUUCAAAUUAUGGACAUAGCUAUUAAAAUGUUUAAUAUGUUCACAUGAGUACCCCUAAAAACUAGCUCAGGUAUACCACCAGUCAUUGCCCCAGCAAUGUUGGGAAACCCUGCUGUCAUGAACUGAAUGUGUUUCCCCUCCCCAGAUUCGCAUGCUGAAAUCCUAAUCCCAAUGUGAUGGGAUACAAGGCAGAGCCUUUGGGAGAUAGUCAGGUCUUAAGGGUGGAGCCCUCAUGAGUGAGAUUAGUGCCCUUCAAAUAAGAGACACAGAACUUGCUCUGGCUCUCUGCUCUUUACUAGGUGAUGACACAGUGAGAGGACAACUGGUUCUCUAUGAAGCAGAAAGCAGCUGCUCACCAAACCCUGAAUCUACCAGCCUGUUGAUCUUGAACUUUUCAGCCUCCAGAAAGAAAUUUUUGCCCAGUCUAUCAUAUUUUUGUUAUAACAGGCUGCACUGAUGAAGAUGCCUGAAUUAAAGAGAGAGAAAAAAAACAGGAAGGGGAAGGGAUGAGAAAAAGAUAGUGAGGUCUUGGUAUUUAAAGAAAAAGAAUUUCCAAAUUGUGUGUGGUGGUGGGGACUUCCCACUUGCAUGUACACACCAAAUAAAGGACUGAAGUCUGAUAUUCAAGAUACCUCCUUCCCCAUCUGAUGGCCUCUGUCCUUCUGUCCCCAGAGCAGACCCCAAGAGACCGAAAGCCCAGACCCUGUAAAUAUACACUGACAGAUUGCUGGUCCUGGCUAAGUCUGCCUGAGUCCGUCAUGAUCACUGGGUCACCUGUCCAAGUACAGAUCCUAUUAGUGUGGUCCAGAUGAUGAGUUUUCAUUGGGGAAAAAAUUAGUGCUCUUUGUUACAUUCAGUUGCCAUCAACAUAGUAAAUUUAUUGCCCACAAAGAAUAUGAUGAGUAUCCAUGCCCUAAAUGUUAGACAUUUUUGUUGACUCAUUUCUAGUUUGCUAGUUUCUAAAAGCACCUACGAAGAGUGAAAAGAGCCAGGGUAUGGAGUCAGCCCAGACACUGGCCAGAUCUUGGGUAAGUUACUUAAAUCUUGUGACUUUCAACUUCCAUAUUUGCACAACAGAGAUAAUGACACAUAAAACUAACAAUUUCCUUUUUCGUGGGGGAAGAACAAAAUGCCUAGUUUACACAAUAAUAAAAUACCUAAUCCAUAACUUGAAAUCACACAGUAAAUACAUUUUUUUCUUUUUUCUUCUUCUUCUUUUUUUUUAAUGGCCACACCUGUGGCAUGUGAACGUUCCAGGGGCCAGGGAUUGAAUCCAAGCCAUAGCUGUGACCUACAGUGCAGCUGCAGCAACUCCAGGUCCUUUAACCCACUGCACCAGGCCUGGGAUCAAACCCAUACCUCCACAGCAACCCGAGCUGCUGCAGUCAGACUCUUAACCCACUGUGCCACAGCAGAAACUCCAGUAAAUAUAUUUUUUUAAUAUGAAC
rnacentral:lncRNA from 9 species